rnacentral:rRNA from 1 species
AUUGAACGCUGGCGGCAGGCCUAACACAUGCAAGUCGAACGGUAACAGGGAUCAGCUUGCUGAUUCGCUGACGAGUGGCGGACGGGUGAGUAAUGUCUGGGAAACUGCCUGAUGGAGGGGGAUAACUACUGGAAACGGUAGCUAAUACCGCAUAACGUCGCAAGACCAAAGAGGGGGACCUUCGGGCCGCUUGCCAUCGGAUGUGCCCAGAUGGGAUUAGCUAGUAGGUGGGGUAACGGCUCACCUAGGCGACGAUCCCUAGCUGGUCUGAGAGGAUGACCAGCCACACUGGAACUUAGACACGGUCCAGACUCCUACGGGAGGCAGCAGUGGGGAAUAUUGCGCAAUGGGCGCAAGCCUGAUGCAGCCAUGCCGCGUGUAUGAAGAAGGCCUUCGGGUUGUAAAGUACUUUCAGCGGGGAGGAAGGGAGUAAAGUUAAUACCUUUGCUCAUUGACGUUACCCGCAGAAGAAGCACCGGCUAACUCCGUG